rnacentral:rRNA from 1 species
UCCGGUGAGUAUAGCGAGGAUGUUACACCUGUUCCCAUCUCGAACACAGUAGUUAAGCUCCUUAGCGCCAAAGAUACUCGGUGGGAGACUGCCCGGGAAAAUAGGUCCUUGCCGGUU